rnacentral:rRNA from 1 species
AACGUAGGUGGCAAGCGUUAUCCGGAAUUACUGGGCGUAAAGGGUGUGCAGGCGGGGUUGCAAGUGGUGUAUGAAAUAUCCCAGCUUAACUGGGAGGGGUUAUGCCAGACUGCAACUCUAGAGGACGAGAGAGGGGGGUGGAAUUCCGGGUGUAGUGGUGAAAUGCGUAGAGAUCCGGAGGAACCCCAGAGGCGAAGGCGGCCCCCUGGCUCGUACCUCGACGCUCAGCCACGAAAGCAUGGGGAGCGAACGGG